UGAGCAUCUGGGACAGUGUCACAGGAGAGGAUCCUCUUUGAUGAAAGCAAUUAUUCUAGUGGUCCAGCUGAAUGACGGAAGAUAAGCUUGAACACAGAGAGCAAACAAGGCUGUGGCUCUUUUGGCCACAUCUUCUGCCUGCAGUCCUUCAGAGUACGAGAGUCUGCCUGUGGCAUCGGAGACGCAUCUGAUCUUCCCAAGUUGUUUCCUUUGCUUUGAUGAAACCAACACUGCUUGAAAAUCAAUGGAGUGGCUGCGGAGAGCGAGAGGUCAGAUUAAUGAACAUACUGUCACUCAGAGGUUAAGCACAAUUCUGAAGUCCUCCAUGUGCAAAUCAAGGCAAAGGCAGGUGUGUCACGUAUUGGCCAGGCUCUUCCACCAGUAUCACGCAACGAGCAUCCUCACCUGAGUACUAACCACGCACAGCUGCACCCAAUCACUCAAACACACUAUAUAAGCACACACCUCACCUCACUCAUUGUCCAGUCUCAUUCCCACGAAGCGGACUCAUAGCGAGUACCUCCUGGUAGUCACUAUCAUUAUAUAUCAUCGUCUGAACUUACCUGAUCUCUGUUUCCUUCCAGUCUGUCCAGUGUUCCCGGUGUCCUGUCAGAGUUGUGUGUAUCGUCAGUCUGUCUUCCCCGCAAGCCCUCUGGUGUGUGCAUUCGGUCUUCCUCAGUGUCUGUCAUCCCACCUGCCACAUAGAAGAAUCAUCAGCUCAACCGAACUCCAUUCACUUCCCCAUCGUUAUCCUUUUGUGCUC